rnacentral:tRNA from 1 species
GCCCGGUUAGCUCAAUCGGUAGAGCGUGAGACUCUUAAUCUCAAGGUUGCGGGUUCGACUCCCGCAUAGGGCU